UACGUAGGGUGCAAGCGUUAAUCGGAAUUACUGGGCGUAAAGCGUGCGCAGGCGGUUGUGCAAGACAGAUGUGAAAUCCCCGGGCUUAACCUGGGAAUUGCAUUUGUGACUGCACGGCUAGAGUGUGUCAGAGGGGGGUAGAAUUCCACGUGUAGCAGUGAAAUGCGUAGAUAUGUGGAGGAAUACCGAUGGCGAAGGCAGCCCCCUGGGAUAACACUGACGCUGAGGCACGAAAGCGUGGGGAGCAAACAGG
rnacentral:rRNA from 1 species